rnacentral:rRNA from 1 species
AUGAAUGACGACGAUCUUUUUAUUGUCAACUGGAACGUCAGAGGCCUAAACUGUCCGGCCAGGCGGACUGCAGUGCAUGAGUCCAUUGUCGCAUCGGCUUGCAACAUUGCUUGUCUUCAGGAGACAAAAUUGCAGGACUUGGACGCGGCAACAUCAGCUUAUCUCGGCGGUUUUAGGAUGAGAGGAUUUGCACAGAGGCCGGCAACCGGCACUAGAGGAGGAAUU